rnacentral:lncRNA from 1 species
GGCUCAUUAGAAUUACCACAUGUGGUCUUUGCAGAGAUUAUUUUUAGCAAGGGUGGCUUAGUUCAUUAACCCUUUGAUUUUGAUCACACCAGCAAUAAGAGGGUCUAGUUACAUAAAUGUUAAUGAAUGCAUACUCAUGGAAGAGAACUAGGGAAUUGAUACAAUGGCACUUUGAUGUAAGAAUUAGCUUUCAGUUUUCAUGCUGGAUGCAAGAUCAGAUCAUUUUGGUGACCACAGAAAUGACAAAAGGUUUAGCCUUUCUAUUAUUCUCAUGUGUCAGGAUGGCAAAUCAUCUGUUUAGGGGCUCUUGGGCAUUUUCUCCUGACUGUAUCGGCUAAGGCAGUAUGCUCCAUAGCCAAACAAACCUCAGCUCUGACAUUCACUAACUUAGAUCCGUUGUUAACACAAUGUGCCUUCAUUUCCUCAUCUUUAACAGAGGCAAUAUGAGACUUGUCUCACAUGGAUGUUGUUGUAUGCAUUAAAGUAAGAUAAAAUAAGGCAAAUAGUACCAAGCACAAGAAACAUUACUCUAUACGAUCACAUAUUCACUUGGUUAUUUCAUGUAUCCUAUUUCUGUUGUGGAACUGCAAAUUGGACUGAAAUGUGAGAAGGAACCGAGGAGGAAACAUGAACCUGGGUUAAAAUGUCUUAAUCUUUACCAUCUAGAAAACUAUCACCCAACACUGUCUUAAAGUUUGCUGAAUAAAAGUUGAUAAGCAAACAAAUCUUAUGUUCCUU